rnacentral:rRNA from 1 species
GACGAACGCUGGCGGCGUGCUUAACACAUGCAAGUCGAACGCUGAAGACCUGGCUUUUGUUGGGUUGGAUGAGUGGCGAACGGGUGAGUAACACGUGAGUAACCUGCCCCCUUCUUUGGGAUAACGCCCGGAAACGGGUGCUAAUACUGGAUAUUCACUGAUCUUCGCAUGGGGGUUGGUGGAAAGGUUUGUUCUGGUGGGGGAUGGGCUCGCGGCCUAUCAGCUUGUUGGUGGGGUGAUGGCCUACCAAGGCUUUGACGGGUAGCCGGCCUGAGAGGGUGACCGGUCACAUUGGGACUGAGAUACGGCCCAAACUCCUACGGGAGGCAGCAGUGGGGAAUAUUGAACAAUGGGCGGAAGCCUGAUGCAGCGACGCCGCGUGAGGGAUGGAGGCCUUCGGGUUGUAAACCUCUUUCGCUCAUGGUCAAGCCGCAACUGUGGGUUGUGGUGAAGGUACUG